rnacentral:rRNA from 1 species
AUUGAACGCUGGCGGCAUGCUUUACACAUGCAAGUCGAAUGGUAACAGGCCGCAAGGUGCUGACGAGUGGCGAACGGGUGAGUAAUGCAUCGGAACGUGCCCAGGCGUGGGGGAUAACGCAGCGAAAGCUGUGCUAAUACCGCAUACGAUCUAAGGAUGAAAGCGGGGACCGUAAGGCCUCGCGCGAUCGGAGCGGCCGAUGUCAGAUUAGGUAGUUGGUGGGGUAAAGGCCCACCAAGCCGACGAUCUGUAGCUGGUCUGAGAGGACGACCAGCCACACUGGGACUGAGACACGGCCCAGACUCCUACGGGAGGCAGCAGUGGGGAAUUUUGGACAAUGGGCGAAAGCCUGAUCCAGCAAUGCCGCGUGCAGGAAGAAGGCCUUCGGGUUGUAAACUGCUUUUGUACGGAGCGAAAAGGUCCUUUCUAAUACAGGGGGCUCAUGACGGUACCGUAAGAAUAAGCACCGGCUAACUACGUGCCAGCAGCCGCCGUAA